rnacentral:rRNA from 1 species
GGCUCAGGAUGAACGCUAGCGGCAGGCUUAACACAUGCAAGUCGAGGGGCAGCAUGUCGGAACCUUCAGGUUCUGAUGAUGGCGACCGGCGCAAGGGUGCGUAACGCGUGAGCAACUUGCCCGUUUCUGGGGAAUAACCGGUGGAAACGCCGACUAAUACCCCAUAGCAUCAACUUAGGGCAUCCUUAGUUGAUUAAAGAAUUUCGGAAACGGAUAGGCUCGCGUGACAUUAGCUAGAUGGCGGGGUAACGGCCCACCAUGGCAACGAUGUCUAGGGGUUCUGAGAGGAAGGUCCCCCACACUGGAACUGAGACACGGUCCAGACUCCUACGGGAGGCAGCAGUGAGGAAUAUUGGUCAAUGGUCUGACGACUGAACCAGCCAUGCCGCGUAAAGGUCACGGCCCUAUGGGUCUUAAACUUCUUUUGUAAGGGAGCAAUAAGUCUCACGUGUGGGAUGAUGAGAGUACCUUACGAAUAAGCAUCGGCUAACUCCGUG